CCGCUGAACUUAAGCAUAUCACUAAGCGGAGGAAAAGAAAUUAACUAAGAUUGCCCCAGUAACGGCGAGUGAAGCGGCAAAAGCCCAAAAUGGAAAUCUUCGCGUUUCACGCGACGAAUUGUAAUCUACAGGAUGGUAGCUCAACGAGUGGUGGCGCAGAAGUGCCUUAGAACGGGCCGCCAGAGAGGGUGACAGCCCCGUAUGUGGUGCCACCGCUUAACGAGCUCCAGCCAAAGAGUCGGGUUGUUUUGAAUUGCAGCCCUAAUCGGGAGAUAGACUUCUUCUAAGGCUAAAUAUUUAUGGGAAACCGAUAGCGAACAAGUACUGUGAAGGAAAGAUGAAAAGAACUUUGAAAAGAGAGUCAAAAGACUUGAAAUCGUUGAGAAGGAAGCGGUAGAAAUUUAUUCUUCUGUUGAUAACAAAGUGUUCGGCUCGCGUAUUGGRGGGCGUCAGUUCGUCAAAGGCUGAUCUUUUCACGUGCGUGACUGAUUGCGGAGUUCUCUGCAGUGAGGCAAAAUGAGGUGCCAUUCCCACAAAAGCUUAUUGUUCUUGGGGCUUUUCGGAGUUCAGUGCAGUUCUGCUAGUGGGCGUGGUGCCUGAGGAAGCUUUGUGCGAUUUUGCCAAAAUGGUUUUUACCGACCCGUCUUGAAACACGGACCAAGGAGUCUACCAUAUAUGCGAGUGUGCUAGUGGAAAAACUAACACGCGUAAUGAAAGUAAGUGAUGCCAAGCGCAAGCAGCAGCAUCAACCGACCAUGAUCCUCUGGUGAAAGGUUUGAGUAUGAGCAUAUCUGUUAGGACCCGAAAGAUGGUGAACUAUGCCUGAGUAGGGUGAAGCCAGGGGAAACUCUGGUGGAAGCUCGUAGCGGUUCUGACGUGCAAAUCGAUCGUCAAACUUGGGUAUAGGGGCGAAAGACUAAUCGAACCAUCUAGUAGCUGGUUCCCUCCGAAGUUUCCCUUAGGAUAGCUGGGACAAUAACGCAGUUUUAUUAGGUAAAGCGAAUGAUUAGAGGAAUCUGGGGUAAUUUGCCCUGGACCUAUUCUCAAACUUUAAAUUGGUAAGAACCUGUGCCUUUCUUAAUUGAGGCAUAGGGGUCAAUGCGUGUCCCAAGUGGGCCAUUUUUGGUAAGCAGAACUGGCGAUGAGGGUUGCUCCUAACGUUGAGUUAAGGUGCCUAAAUGCAUGCUCAUCAGAAACUACAAAGGGUGUUGGUUCAUUUAGACAGCAGGACGGUGGCCAUGGAAGUCGGAACCCGCUAAGGAGUGUGUAACAACUCACCUGCCGAAUGGACUAGCCCCGAAAAUUGAUGGCGCUUAAGCGUGCUACCGAUACUUGACCAUUGUAGCGAGAGUGAGGCUGCAAUGUGUAGGGGGGCGUGAACGUUGUUGCGAAGCCUCUGGCGUGAGCCUUGGUUGAACAGCGUUUAGUGCAGAUCUUGGUGGUAGUAGCAAUUAUUCAAAUGAGAACUUUGAAGGCCGAAGUGGAGAAGGUUUCCGUGAGAACAGCAAUUGGUCACGGGUGACUCGAUCCUAAGACAUGGGGGAAAUCCUUGUUAAGUGCACCAUCCGGUGCGUAGUCGAAAGGGAAUGAGGUUAAUAUUCCUCAAGCUGGAUGUGGGUGUUGUAUGGUAACAUAAGUGAGCUCAGAGACGCCAGCGUGAGCCUCUGGAAGAGUUAUCUUUUCUUUUUAACAGGCUAGUGACCUUGAAAUUGGUUUACCCAGAGCUAAGGUUGCAUGCCUGGAAGAGCACUUUGCUUUUCGAAGUGUCAGGUGCGCUCACGAUGGCCCUUGAAAAUCUGAGUGAGAUAAUUUCACACCAGGUCGUACCCUAAACCGCAUCAGGCCUCCCAAGGUUA
rnacentral:rRNA from 1 species